AUUGAACGCUGGCGGCAGGCCUAACACAUGCAAGUCGAACGAGUGGCGGACGGGUGCGUCAUGUCUGGGAAACUGCCUGAUGGAGGGGGAUAACUACUGGAAACGGUAGCUAAUACCGCAUACCAUCGGAUGUGCCCAGAUGGGAUUAGCUAGUAGGUGGGGUAAAGGCUCACCUAGGCGACGAACCCUAGCUGGUCUGAGAGGAUGACAAGCCAAAUUGGAACUGAGACACUGUCCAGCCCGCUACGAGAGGCAGCAGUGGGGAAUAUUGCACAAUGGGCGCGAGCCUGAUGCAGCCAUGCCGAGUGUAUGAAGAAGGCCUUCGGGUUGUAAAGUACUUUCAGUGGGGAGGCGUUACCCGCAGAAGAAGCACCGGCUAACUCCGUGCCAGCAGCCGCGGUAAUUC
rnacentral:rRNA from 1 species